rnacentral:rRNA from 1 species
GAUGAACGCUGGCGGCGUGCUUAACACAUGCAAGUCGAACGGUGAAGGCGGAGCUUGCUCUGCUGGAUCAGUGGCGAACGGGUGAGUAACACGUGAGCAAUCUGCCCCUGACUCUGGGAUAAGCGCUGGAAACGGCGUCUAAUACUGGAUACGAGCUGCGAAGGCAUCUUCAGCAGCUGGAAAGAACUUCGGUCAGGAUUGAGCUCGCGGCCUAUCAGCUUGUUGGUGAGGUAACGGCUCACCAAGGCGUCGACGGGUAGCCGGCCUGAGAGGGUGACCGGCCACACUGGGACUGAGACACGGCCCAGACUCCUACGGGAGGCAGCAGUGGGGAAUAUUGCACAAUGGGCGAAAGCCUGAUGCAGCAACGCCGCGUGAGGGACGACGGCCUUCGGGUUGUAAACCUCUUUUAGCAGGGAAGAAGCGAAAGUGACGGUACCUGCAGAAAAAGCGCCGGCUAACUACGUG